CUCNCUCUCUCCUCUCUCUCUCUCUCUCUCUCUCGCUGUGGGCUUCCUCGGUGGUCGAGGUUUCUUGAUUUCUCGCGCCUGGGAGACCACUUGGGUGCUUAUAUCCUUCUCCGCUUUCUUCGUCCCCAAGACGAGAAGCGCGGUAUAAUAUUUCGCUGGAGUCACCUGCGGGGAAGACUUAUGGGGGCUUGACCGCUCGUAGGAACGCGGUCGGGUCACGCUAUGGAGUUGCG
rnacentral:lncRNA from 1 species